rnacentral:rRNA from 1 species
AAGAACCUUACCUGGUCUUGACAUGUCANGAACCCUUCAGAGAUGAGGGGGUGCCUUCUUUGAACCUGAACACAGGUGCUGCAUGGCUGUCGUCAGCUUCGUGUCGUGAGAUGUUGGGUUAAGUCCCGCAACGAGCGCAACCCUUGUCCUUAGUUGCCAUCAUUUAUUUGGGAACUCUAAGGAGACCGCCGGUGACAAACCGGAUGAAGGUGGGGAUGACGUCAAGUCAUCAUGGCCCUUAUGACCAGGGCUACUCACGUGCUACAAUGGUAGAUACAAAGGGUCGCGAACCCGCAAGGUGGAGCCAAUCCCAUAAAGUCUAUCGUAGUCCGGAUCGGAGUCUGCAACUCGACUCCGUGAAGUCGGAAUCGCUAGUAAUCGUAGAUCAUCAUUGCUACGGUGAAUACUUUCCCGGGUCUUGUACACACCGCCCGUCACACCAUGGGAGUUGAUUGCACCAAAAGCAGGUAGCCUAACCGCAAGGGGGGCGCCUACCACGGUGUGUUCAAUGACUGGGGUGAAGUCGUAACAAGGUAGCCGNA